rnacentral:tRNA from 1 species
CAUCGCCAUGGUCGGCAAGGCCGAACGCGGCCCUGACGCGGUCGCCGCGAUCCAGCGCCAUCGCGCCGCCUACCUGAUCGCCGUGGGCGGCGCGGCC